AUUUUUGAAAACAGCUGUUAUAAUCAUAGGCAGUUUGCGGCAAUACCGCAGGCUCUGAUACGAAAAGCCGUAUGAAAUAGAUAUAUUGGACCCGGGGGCGGUACCCGGCACCUCCACCAGUUUUUACGGGGGUGAAACAGGUUUGACAGUGUAUAGUAAAGAUAUGUGGGCUGUAUUCGGCAAGAUACCACCGUUAUCGGUUCAAAUCAAAUAAACGCAAAUGAUAAUUUUGCACCUGUUGCCGUAGCUGCAUAAGGCAAAGCAACAAAAUCAAUUCUUCAGGCUAUGGUUAGCCCGGAGUGGGGAAGGAGCCGCCCAGCAACAGAACGGCU
rnacentral:tmRNA from 1 species